GUUGUAUGGUUAAGUGACUAAGCGUACACGGUGGAUGCCUUGGCAGUCAGAGGCGAUGAAAGACGUAGUAACUUGCGAUAAGCCCAGAUUAGGUAGUAACAACCAUUUGAGUCUGGGAUUUCUGAAUGGGGAAACCCACGUGCAUAAGCACGUAUCCUUACCUGAAUACAUAGGGUAAGGAGGCGAACCGGGGGAACUGAAACAUCUAAGUACCCCGAGGAAAAGAAAUCAACCGAGAUUCCGAAAGUAGCGGCGAGCGAAAUUGGACUAGCCCUUAAGCUUUACACGCGUUAGACGAACGGUCUGGAAAGUCCGACGAUACAGGGUGAUAGUCCCGUAGUUGACGACGUGUGUUCAGUGAAAUCGAGUAGGGCGGGACACGUGAUAUCCUGUCUGAAUAUGGGGGGACCAUCCUCCAAGGCUAAAUACUACUGACUGACCGAUAGUGAACCAGUACCGUGAGGGAAAGGCGAAAAGAACCCCUGUGAGGGGAGUGAAAUAGAACCUGAAACCGUGUACGUACAAGCAGUAGGAGCAGGCUUUGUCCUGUGACUGCGUACCUUUUGUAUAAUGGGUCAGCGACUUAUAUUCAGUGGCAAGGUUAACCAUCUAGGGGAGCCGUAGGGAAACCGAGUCUUAACUGGGCGUUCAGUCUCUGGAUAUAGACCCGAAACCAGGUGAUCUAGCCAUGGGCAGGUUGAAGGUUGAGUAACAUCAACUGGAGGACCGAACCGACUAAUGUUGAAAAAUUAGCGGAUGACUUGUGGCUAGGGGUGAAAGGCCAAUCAAACCUGGAGAUAGCUGGUUCUCCCCGAAAGCUAUUUAGGUAGCGCCUCGGACGAAUACUACUGGGGGUAGAGCACUGUUAAGGCUAGGGGGUCAUCCCGACUUACCAACCCUUUGCAAACUCCGAAUACCAGUAAGUACUAUCCGGGAGACACACGGCGGGUGCUAACGUCCGUCGUGGAGAGGGAAACAACCCAGACCGCCAGCUAAGGUCCCAAAUUACUACUAAGUGGGAAACGAUGUGGGAAGGCUCAGACAGCCAGGAUGUUGGCUUAGAAGCAGCCAUCAUUUAAAGAAAGCGUAAUAGCUCACUGGUCGAGUCGGCCUGCGCGGAAGAUGUAACGGGGCUAAGUAGUAAACCGAAGCUGCGGCAAUGUGCUUUUGCACAUUGGGUAGGGGAGCGUUCUGUAAGCGGUUGAAGGUGUGUGGUAACGCAUGCUGGACGUAUCAGAAGUGCGAAUGCUGACAUGAGUAACGAUAAAGGGGGUGAAAAACCUCCUCGCCGGAAGACCAAGGGUUCCUGUCCAACGUUAAUCGGGGCAGGGUAAGUCGACCCCUAAGGCGAGGCCGAAAGGCGUAGUCGAUGGGAAACGGGUUAAUAUUCCCGUACUUCUUACAAUUGCGAUGGGGGGACGGAGAAGGCUAGGUGGGCCUGGCGACGGUUGUCCAGGUUCAAGUGCGUAGGCUUAAGA
rnacentral:rRNA from 1 species